rnacentral:rRNA from 1 species
ACACAAUAAGCAUUCCGCCUGGGGAGUACGGCCGCAAGGUUGAAACUCAAAGGAAUUGACGGGGGCCCGCACAAGCAGCGGAGCAUGUGGUUUAAGUCGAAGCAACGCGAAGAACCUUACCAGGUCUUGACAUCCAGGUAAAGCCGUAGAGAUACGGUGUGCCUUCGGGCAAUCUGAGACAGGUGGUGCAUGGUUGUCGUCAGCUCGUGUCGUGAGAUGUUGGGUUAAGUCCCGCAACGAGCGCAACCCUUAUUUUCAGUUACUAACGCGUGAAGGCGAGGACUCUGAAGAGACUGCCGGGGACAACUCGGAGGAAGGUGGGGACGACGUCAAAUCAUCAUGCCCCUUAUGACCUGGGCUACACACGUGCUACAAUGGCCACUACAAAGAGGAGCGAGCCCGUAAGGGGGAGCGGAUCUGAGAAAAGUGGUCCCA